AGCUGCAAGACAGGUGUGCAUGGUUUGUCGUCAGCUCGGUGUCGUGAGAUGUUGGGUUAAGUCCCGCAACGAGCGCAACCCUUGCUAUUAGUUGCUAACAUGAAAGAUGAGCACUCUAAUGGGACUGCCCGUGACAAGCGGGAGGAAGGUGGGGAUGACGUCAAAUCAUCAUGCCCUUUAUGAUCUGGGCUACACACGUGCUACAAUGGAUGGUACAGAGAGCAGCGAGACCGCGAGGUGGAGCGAAUCUCAAAAAGCCAUUCUCAGUUCGGAUUGGAGUCUGCAACUCGACUCCAUGAAGUCGGAAUCGCUAGUAAUCGCGAAUCAGCACGUCGCGGUGAAUACGUUCCCGGGCCUU
rnacentral:rRNA from 1 species